rnacentral:rRNA from 1 species
GACGAACGCUGGCGGCGUGCCUAAUACAUGCAAGUCGAGCGAAUGGAAGGGAGCUUGCUCCCUGAAGUUAGCGGCGGACGGGUGAGUAACACGUGGGCAACCUGCCUGUAAGACUGGGAUAACUUCGGGAAACCGGAGCUAAUACCGGAUACGUUCUUUUCUCGCAUGAGGAAAGAUGGAAAGAUGGUUUCGGCUAUCACUGACAGAUGGGCCCGCGGCGCAUUAGCUAGUUGGUGGGGUAAUGGCCCACCAAGGCGACGAUGCGUAGCCGACCUGAGAGGGUGAUCGGCCACACUGGGACUGAGACACGGCCCAGACUCCUACGGGAGGCAGCAGUAGGGAAUCUUCCGCAAUGGACGAAAGUCUGACGGAGCAACGCCGCGUGAGCGAUGAAGGCCUUCGGGUCGUAAAGCUCUGUUGUCAGGGAAGAACAAGUGCCAGAGUAACUGCUGGCACCUUGACGGUACCUGACCAGAAAGCCACGGCUAACUACGUGCCAGCCGCCGCAGUAA